GGACGGGAAGAACCCACCAGGGAUUACCUCAGUAACGGCGAGUGAAGCGGUAACAGCUCAAAUUUGAAAUCUGGCCCUUUUAGGGUCCGAGUUGUAAUUUGUAGAAGAUGCUUUGGGUGUGGCUCCGGUCUAAGUUCCUUGGAACAGGACGUCAUAGAGGGUGAGAAUCCCGUAUGUGACUGGCGGCCUUCGCCCGUGUAAAGCUCUUUCGACGAGUCGAGUUGUUUGGGAAUGCAGCUCUAAAUGGGAGGUAUAUUUCUUCUAAAGCUAAAUAUUGGCCAGAGACCGAUAGCGCACAAGUAGAGUGAUCGAAAGAUGAAAAGCACUUUGGAAAGAGAGUUAAACAGUACGUGAAAUUGUUGAAAGGGAAGCGCUUGCAACCAGACUUGCAUGCCGUCGAUCAUCGUGGGUUCUCCCGCGUGCACUCGGCGGCGUUCAGGCCAGCAUCGGUUCCGGUGGUUGGAUAAAGGCCUUGGGAAUGUGGCUCCUCUCGGGGAGUGUUAUAGCCCUCGGUGCAAUGCAGCCUACUGGGACCGAGGACCGCGCUUCGGCUAGGAUGCUGGCGUAAUGGUUGUAAGCGACCCGUCUUGAAACACGGACCAAGGAGUCUAACAUCUAUGCGAGUGUUAGGGUGUUAAACCCUUCCGCGAAAUUAACGUGAACGGAGGUACGAACCCUUUAGGGCGCAGUAUCGACCGGUCCUGAUGUCUUCGGAUGGAUCUGAGUAAGAGCAUAGCUGUUGGGACCCGAAAGAUGGUGAACUAUGCCUGAAUAGGGUGAAGCCAGAGGAAACUCUGGUGGAGGCUCGCAGCGGUUCUGACGUGCAAAUCGAUCGUCAAAUUAGGGCAUAGGGGCGAAAGACUAAUCGAACCAUCUAGUAGCUGGUUCUGC
rnacentral:rRNA from 1 species